UACGAAGGGUGCUAGCGUUGUUCGGAAUUACUGGGCGUAAAGCGUGCGUAGGUGGUUUACUAAGUCAGGUGUGAAAUCCCCGGGCUCAACCUGGGAACUGCGCUUGAUACUGGUAAACUAGAGUUUAGUAGAGGGAAGUGGAAUUCCACGUGUAGCGGUGAAAUGCGUAGAUAUGUGGAGGAGCACCAGUGGCGAAGGCGGCUUCCUGGACUAAAACUGACACUGAGGCACGAGAGCGUGGGUAGCAAGCAGG
rnacentral:rRNA from 1 species